rnacentral:rRNA from 1 species
AGUGAACGCUGGCGGUAGGCCUAACACAUGCAAGUCGAACGGCAGCACAGUAAGAGCUUGCUCUUACGGGUGGCGAGUGGCGGACGGGUGAGGAAUACAUCGGAAUCUACUUUUUCGGGGGGGAUAACGUAGGGAAACUUACGCUAAUACCGCAUACGACCUACGGGUGAAAGCAGGGGAUCUUCGGACCUUGCGCGAUUGAAUGAGCCGAUGUCGGAUUAGCUAGUUGGCGGGGUAAAGGCCCACCAAGGCGACGAUCCGUAGCUGGUCUGAGAGGAUGAUCAGCCACACUGGAACUGAGACACGGUCCAGGCUCCUACGGGAGGCAGCAGUGGGGAAUAUUGGACAAUGGGCGCAAGCCUGAUCCAGCCAUACCGCGUGGGUGAAGAAGGCCUUCGGGUUGUAAAGCCCUUUUGUUGGGAAAGAAGAGCAGCAGGUUAAUACGCCGCUGUUCUGACGGUACCCAAAGAAUAAGCACCGGCUAACUUCGUG